rnacentral:rRNA from 1 species
UUUAACUGAAGAGUUUGAUCAUGGCUCAGAUUGAACGCUGGCGGCAGGCUUAACACAUGCAAGUCGAGCGGGGGAAGGUAGCUUGCUACUGGACCUAGCGGCGGACGGGUGAGUAAUGCUUAGGAAUCUGCCUAUUAGUGGGGGACAACAUCUCGAAAGGGAUGCUAAUACCGCAUACGUCCUACGGGAGAAAGCAGGGG